UUAUGAUCCAGCAGCUGCCAGAAAACCCACAGUAGUAGGCACCUGAUAAAGCUGCAGUUCCUGAUACUGGUUUUUCUACAUGCUUCAGCCAAAGACAUAUACUCUUUGAUCCCUGAGAACACUAUUUCCUCAGUGUCUUUGCACAUGGAGUUCACUUCUCUGCUUGUGAAGUCUAUGAAUAUUGCAUGGCUGAUUUGUCACAAUUUUAAGUCUUCAACAUCUGGAGUGUUCUGGCAAGAAUUUGUAGGAAAAAUUUUUGAAUCAUCAGAUUACCAUAGCACAACCUUGGAGAAUAAAACUCUUUUGCUCUGAAGCUCAUCUAAUAACCUGAUAUCUCUCAAAUGAAUCUAUCCAAUGACAGGGAAUACCCCAUGUUAAACAGCUGAUUCUUGUUCUGAAUACGUUUAUUAUCUUGUAGUUAGUAAAUAAAUCAAUUGGACCCUUAAGACUUUGCUUAGAGUGAAUCUGUCUCCCAGAGCUUGAUCACAUUUGAAUGUACAGACAAAAACUAACAAAAGUGAGAUCCAUCUGGGGAUGAGGUAUUGGGAUUCUGUAAGAUCCUGCCUGAAACAGCCCAC
rnacentral:lncRNA from 1 species